rnacentral:rRNA from 1 species
CUUGGAGGAUGUAUAGCGAUAGCUAAUUGCAUCGAAAAUAUGAUGCAAGAUCGAUUUAUUGAAUAAAAUUCUGGGUAGAAUUAUGAUUAUGACAUUGUCUACCCAUGUGUCUUGACCAAAUUACGUGCCAGCAGUCGCGGUAAUACGUAGAAGACUAGUGUUAUUCAUCUUUAAUAGGUUUAAAGGGUACCUAGACGGUAAAUCAAGCCUAUACGGGACUAAUUUGCUAGAGUUACUUGUGAGGGGGUUUUAAAGUACUAAUGGUGUAGAGAUGAAAUUUUGUAAUACCAUUUUUCGAAAGAAAAGUAAUGGCACAGGUAUAGGCGAAAGCAUCCCCUUAUGUGAUAACUGACGUUGAAGGACGAAGGCUUUGAGUCGCGAACAGGAUUAGAUACCCUGGUAGUCAAAGCAGAAAAUAAUGAGUGUCAUAGAUUAGAUAUUAAAGUUUAUUCUAUAAAUGAAAGUGUAAGCACUCCACCUCAAGAGUAAUUUGGCAACAUUGGAACUGAAAUCAUUAGACCGUUUCUGAAACCAGUAGUGAAGUAUGUUGUUUAAUUUGAUAAUCCGCAAAAAACCUUACCACAAUUUGAAUAUUUAUAUCGUUGAUAUAAUUACAAGCGUUGCACGGCUGUCUUCAGUUAAUGUCGUGAGAUUUUGGUUAGAUCCAUUAAAUUAACGCAAGCCCUUACUUUAUUUUAAAAUAAAGUCGUUCCCCACUAGAUUGGAUAAGAUAACAGGGAUUAAGACAAGUCAUCAUGGCCUGAAUAUUGUGGGCUAUAG